CUUUGCGUCGGCCGCCGGCCGGGCAGGUGGGCCAAGGCUGCGGGCGUCACGCGAUCUCGGUAGAAGUGCGCGGAGUAGGUUCUAAUUACAUUGCCUACUGGUUGUUUUCUGAAGCUCAAGGAGAUGCCCGUGAGAGAAUGUUCAAGUAGAUGACCUUGAAGUCUUAGAGAGCUGUGAUAAGAAGACAUCGAAAUAAUUCCAUUCCUGAAGCAAUGAUUAAAAUAUCAUUAUGAUUUCAACAGAAAAACUUUAAGCUUCGUUGGAUUCCCACAUCAAAGAAAAGUUCUAAGCUUUCAGAACGAGUUCUUGCUUGAAGAGAAAGACCAACUUGCUAACCACGGAAGAGUUGAUACUAAGCUCUUAAUUGUACUUCCUAAAGUUGCAGAAUUAAGAAAAAU